GCUUGAUAUUCAACCAUUUCUUCAUCACGAUUGACGGCCAAAAAGCCUCGGAGCGUUUUCCUCUCCUCGUCCGCAUAGCCUUUGCUUGAAACUAUUCAGCAGAAGAUCGAUCCUUAGAUUCGCAGUGAUGAAAUGCUUAAAACGCUGCAGCACCCGAAACUCGAUGUCAAUUUCUAGUACGCCAAUAGUUUAAUAUGUGGC
rnacentral:misc_RNA from 1 species